rnacentral:rRNA from 1 species
GAUGAACGCUGGCGGCGUGCCUAAUACAUGCAAGUCGAGCGAACAGACGAGGAGCUUGCUCCUCUGACGUUAGCGGCGGACGGGUGAGUAACACGUGGAUAACCUACCUAUAAGACUGGGAUAACUUCGGGAAACCGGAGCUGAUACCGGAUAAUAUAUUGAACCGCAUGGUUCAAUAGUGAAAGACGGUUUUGCUGUCACUUAUAGAUGGAUCCGCGCCGCAUUAGCUAGUUGGUAAGGUAACGGCUUACCAAGGCGACGAUGCGUAGCCGACCUGAGAGGGUGAUCGGCCACACUGGAACUGAGACACGGUCCAGACUCCUACGGGAGGCAGCAGUAGGGAAUCUUCCGCAAUGGGCGAAAGCCUGACGGAGCAACUCCGCGUGAGUGAUGAAGGUCUUCGGAUCGUAAAACUCUGUUAUUAGGGAAGAACAAAUGUGUAAGUAACUAUGCACGUCUUGACGGUACCUAAUCAGAAAGCCACGGCUAACUACGUG